UCAUUUUCAGUGUUUGGAGAAAACUGACGCCAAUGGAGAGCUUGGCACUCCAUUCUAUCUCCACCACAACCUCCUUCUCUCUCUCUACCCGCAAUUCCUUACUCCACCGAUCACCAAAAUCCAUCUCCAAAUUUCCACCUUCCAUUGUCUUUCCACCGUCUCUUCCCACCACCAUUCGCUCAUCAGCUCUUUUAUCCCCAAAAUGCUUUCUCUUCACUCCUCUUCACAAGCCAUUCAAAACCCAUUUCCAAAUCCGUGCCUCCUCUGACCAACAUGACUCCUCAACCCCAACAAAGCUGCCGCCAAUCGCUAACCCACCUCCUCGAGGUGCCAAGCUUGUUCCCCUUAUAGUAUCUGUGUCUAUCGGUCUGAUUCUUCGCUUUUGUAUUCCUAAACCCGUCCAAGUAACCCCCCAAGCGUGGC
rnacentral:misc_RNA from 1 species